rnacentral:tRNA from 1 species
UCCGAAUUGGUCUAGCGGUUAGGAUGCCUGUCUCUCACACAGGCGGCCGGGGUUCGACUCCCCGAUUCGGAA